UACGAAGGGAGCUAGCGUUGUUCGGAAUCACUGGGCGUAAAGCGCACGUAGGCGGAUGUGUCAGUCAGGGGUGAAAUCCCGGAGCUCAACUUCGGAACUGCCUUUGAUACAGCACAUCUUGAGUCCGAUAGAGGUGGGUGGAAUUCCUAGUGUAGAGGUGAAAUUCGUAGAUAUUAGGAAGAACACCGGUGGCGAAGGCGGCCCACUGGAUCGUUACUGACGCUGAGGUGCGAAAGCGUGGGGAGCAAACAGG
rnacentral:rRNA from 1 species